UAAGCAUAUUAAUAAGCGGAGGAAAAGAAACUAACAAGGAUUCCCUCAGUAACGGCGAGUGAAGCGGGAAGAGCUCAAAUUUGAAAUCUCCGAUGCCUGCAUCGGCGAGUUGUAGUUGCGAGAAGCACUUUCUAGGUGGAUCGGCGGUGCCUAAGUUGCUUGGAACAGCAGGUCGCAGAGGGUGACAACCCCGUCUGUGGCGCCGCCGGCCGCUGACGAUGUGCUUUCGAAGAGUCGGGUUGUUUGGGAAUGCAGCCCAAAAUGGGUGGUAAACUCCAUCUAAAGCUAAAUACUGGCGUGAGACCGAUAGCGAACAAGUACCGUGAGGGAAAGAUGAAAAGAACUUUGAAAAGAGAGUUAAAAAGUACGUGAAACCGUUGAAAUGGAAACGAAUGGGCUCAGCAAUGCGCCGUUUGAGAUUCAGCCGGUGGGUGGGAUCGACGGCGGGUUUGCGGAUCUGAAUGGACCGCGGCCCGGUGCUCGUUUCUCCCCACCGUCGCACUUCUCUUGGGCGCGCGUCAACGUCGGUUGGGACUGGGUCUGAAAGGURCCGGGAAGGUAGGUGUGGGCCUCCGGGUCCGUGCUGUUACAGCCCGGUUCUCUCAUGGCUCGGGCCCGACCGAGGAGUUGCAGGGCAUGCCUCCUGUGGCUAGGGUCCCCUCCCUCCGGCCGGCUGUCCAAUGCGGUGGACUGCUUGCAGUGCUCGGCGAACGCUGCCGGUCGUUGGGGUGGUGAUCUCGUACCAUGCCCUUAGGAUGUUGGCGGUCAUAUGG
rnacentral:rRNA from 1 species